AGAGUUUGAUCCUGGCUUAGGACGAACGCUGGCGGCGUGCCUAACACAUGCAAGUCGAACGAGAAUCUACUUAUGAAAUUUCGGAUGGAUUAGGUAGAGGAAAGUGGCGAACGGGCGAGUAACGCGUGAGCAAUCUGCCUUGUACUGGGGAAUAACGUCGGGAAACCGGCGCUAAUACCGCAUAAUACUAUGAGAUCGCAUGGUCAUAUAGUCAAAACUCCGGUGGUACAAGAUGAGCUCGCGUCCAAUUAGCUAGUUGGUGGGGUAAUGGCCCACCAAGGCGACGAUUGGUAGCCGAACUGAGAGGUUGAUCGGCCACAUUGGGACUGAGACACGGCCCAGACUCCUACGGGAGGCAGCAGUGGGGAAUAUUGCGCAAUGGAGGGAACUCUGACGCAGCAACGCCGCGUGAAGGAUGAAGGUUUUCGGAUUGUAAACUUCUUUGAUCGGGGACGAAAUUGACGGUACCCGAGGAACAAGCCACGGCUAACUACGUGCCAGCCGCCGC
rnacentral:rRNA from 1 species